CGGACGGGUGAGUAACGCGUGGAAAACCUGCCGUAUGCUGGGGGAUAACACUUAGAAAUAGGUGCUAAUACCGCAUAAGCGCACAGCUUCGCAUGAAGCGGUGUGAAAAACUCUGGUGGUAUACGAUGGUUCCGCGUCUGAUUAGCUAGUUGGUGGGGUAAUGGCCUACCAAGGCAACGAUCAGUAGCCGGCCUGAGAGGGUGAACGGCCACAUUAGGACUGAGACACGGCCCAAACUCCUACGGAAGGCAGCAG
rnacentral:rRNA from 1 species